rnacentral:rRNA from 1 species
CCUACGGGUGGCAGCAGUGGGGAAUAUUGGGCAAUGGAGGCAACUCUGACCCAGCAACGCCGCGUGAAUGAUGAAGGUCUUCGGAUUGUAAAGUCCUGUGAUGGGGGAUGAACACAAUGACGGUACCCCAAUAGCAAGCCACGGCUAACUACGUGCCAGCAGCCGCGGCUAUACGUAGGUGGCAAGCGUUCUCCGGAAUGACUGGGCGUAAAGGGUGCUUAGGUGGGUUAGUAAGUUGGCGGGUUAAUUCCGGGGGUGAAACUCGGCGGUACCGCCAAAACUAUUAGACUAGAGUGCGGGAGAAGUAAGUGGAAUGCGUGGUGUAGCGGUGGAAUGCGUAGAUAUUAGGAGGAACAUCGGGGGCGAAGGCGACUUACUGG